rnacentral:misc_RNA from 1 species
ACGCAUGACUAUGAUGUUAAAAUGCGCAACGUGGUGAAGUUCCUGGAAAAAGGCGACAAGGUCAAAGUGACCCUGCGCUUCCGUGGCCGCGAAAUGGCCCACCAGAACCUUGGUCGAGAGCUUCUUUUGCGUGUUGCCGAAGACAUCAAGGAAUUGGGCAAAGUUGAAAACAUGCCCAAGAUGGAAGGCCGUCAGAUGGUCAUGAUGAUCGGCCCGCUCCCGAAGUAAUCCCAUCUUGUAUCUAAUGUAAAACGCCCUGCAGCCGCGGGGCGUUUUCUUUUGGGCUGAUGAACAGUCCGA